GCUGGGUGUGGUAGCGCAUGCCUGUAAUCCCACACCCAGGAGGCUGUGGCAGGAAGAUCACAAGUUCAUAGCCAGCCUU
rnacentral:sRNA from 1 species